CCGAUAGAAUUUAGGACUUCCUUCAAGUUAAAGGUCCUACAAAACAUGAAACAAAAAUCCCAUCAGGGAUAGUUUUUAUUUAGCAGGAUUUUUGUUGUUGUUGUUGUUUUAAAAAUAUACCAACUUAUUUCAAAUGUCUACCAAUUUUUCCCUAUACAGACAAUAAUUACCUCUAUUAGAAUGAGCUUAGAAAAUAGUAACUCCUCCCAACCAUCCUUUAUAUGUAGCAGAUUUGUAAAUGCUUAAAACCACUCAAUUCUGUGGGUAAUGUUUAAAUAGGAAAGCACAGACAGAAAAAUGUGGUCCCUGAAAAUAAGUCUGCAACCCCAUCUUCAGGCAGGGCUAUCAGAAAGGGAAAGAGUAGGUUCUUUAAAAAGUAACCUAUUUACUUCUUAAAAUAAACCCUCUGGUCUGAGUGGAUUCAUUCAUAGAUUUUUUUUUUUAAUGUGCUUGGAAAAUGAGGUACGAUCAAUUCCUUUAUCCAUGCCUGAGCAGUAAAUCUCUAACACCAAUCAAAAACAAGAAAUGAAGAUAUUCAGAAGCCAAUACCAUGAAGACAAGUUACCUAAAACUCUUGACCUAUCAUGAUGAAAGAUUCCUGAUGCCCUCCCGGUUUCUGGCCUCGCGCAGACUCAGGGCUUCCCCGGUGCAGCGGUGGUUAAGAAUCUGCCUGCCAGUGCAGGG